rnacentral:lncRNA from 1 species
UACACUCAAUAUAAUUAUAGCUACAGCUUUUUUGCAUAAUUGGGCAAUCAAAUUGAGAGAGAAUGAUUUUUUUGAAAAUAAUCAGCAUAAUGACCAUAGUGAUGACGAUGAUGACGACGACAACAACAUCAUCCAUAUUUCAAACAAUUCUGGAUUUGCUAUCAGAAGUCUUGUACAGUUACAUUUUAGUAACUAAAAAAUAUGAUAUAAUCAAAAGGUCCUUUUCACGACCACUAAAUUUUGAUAAAGAGUUAGCCUUUCAAAUGAAAGUCUCAUUUAUAAUAAUAAAUAUGGUAUCAAAUGCAACCAUUUAAAAAUUAAAUCAUUUAUACAUAAUACUUUACUUCAAUAAUAGAAAAUACAAGAUUUUUGAAUAUAAAUUUCAGAUAAAAUACAAAUUUAAAAAUAGCUGAGAUUACACUAUAUAAUGACUCACAUUUCAAAAGAAAAAGAAAUAUACAAGUAUUUUUAAUAAAUUUUUUAUUAGUUUAAUAUUUUACAGCAAAUUUUACAAAAAUUAUGUCAUCAAUAUAUUAUACAUAUCUUAUUUAAUUCAUAACUUAUGGAUUAAUAAUUAUAUUAGGGAAAAUAUGUAAUAGGAAAUACUGUAAUAUUAACAGAAUAUUAAAACUAUCAUAUGUGUUUCCUUAAUAUAAUUACUAAUCGGCAACUUAUGAAUUAAAUAAGGGAUGUAUAAUAUAUUGAUGUAAUAAUUUUUGUAAACUUUUCUGUCAAAUAGUAAUUAAAGAAGUAAUAAAAAAUUUAUUAUUGGGUUGUUCGAAAGGUUCGUGCCGAUUUUCGAUAGGCAGCGUAAUGACAGCUCUGAAUCUACC